UGCAGUCGAGGGGUAUAUUCUUUCGGGAAUAGAGACCGGCGCACGGGUGCGUAACGCGUAUGCAAUCUACCUUUUACAGGGGAAUAGCCCAGAGAAAUUUGGAUUAAUGCCCCAUAGUAUUAUUUGAUGGCAUCAUUAGAUAAUUAAAGUCACAACGGUAAAAGAUGAGCAUGCGUCCCAUUAGUUAGUUGGUAAGGUAACGGCUUACCAAGACUAUGAUGGGUAGGGGUCCUGAGAGGGAGAUCCCCCACACUGGUACUGAGACACGGACCAGACUCCUACGGGAGGCAGCAGUGAGGAAUAUUGGACAAUGGGCGCAAGCCUGAUCCAGCCAUGCCGCGUGCAGGAAGACGCAUCUAUGGUGUGUAAACUGCUUUUGUACGGGAAGAAACACUCCGACGUGUCGGAGCUUGACGGUACCGUAAGAAUAAGGAUCGGCUAACUCCGUGCCAGCAGCCGCGGUAAUACGGAGGAUCCAAGCGUUAUCCGGAAUCAUUGGGUUUAAAGGGUCCGUAGGCGGUUUAAUAAGUCAGUGGUGAAAUCUGGUCGCUCAGCGAUCAAACGGCCAUUGAUACUGUUAGACUUGAAUUAUAAGGAAGUAACUAGAAUAUGUAGUGUAGCGGUGAAAUGCUUAGAUAUUACAUGGAAUACCAAUUGCGAAGGCAGGUUACUACUUAUGGAUUGACGCUGAUGGACGAAAGCGUGGGGAGCGAACAGGAUUAGAUACCCUGGUAGUCCACGCCGUAAACGAUGGAUACUAGCUGUUAGGCGCAAGUUCAGUGGCUAAGCGAAAGUGAUAAGUAUCCCACCUGGGGAGUACGUUCGCAAGAAUGAAACUCAAAGGAAUUGACGGGGGCCCGCACAAGCGGUGGAGCAUGAGGUUUAAUUCGAUGAUACGCGAGGAACCUUACCAAGGCUUAAAUGUAGAUUGACCGAUUUGGAAACAGAUCUUUCGCAAGACAAUUUACAAGGUGCUGCAUGGUUGUCGUCAGCUCGUGCCGUGAGGUGUCAGGUUAAGUCCUAUAACGAGCGCAACCCCU
rnacentral:rRNA from 1 species